rnacentral:rRNA from 1 species
CUGCUGCCUCCCGUAGGAGUCUGGGCCGUGUCUCAGUCCCAGUGUGGGGGGCCUUCCUCUCAGAACCCCUACGCAUCGUCGCCACGGUGGGCCGUCACCCCGCCGUCUAGCUAAUGCGCCGCAUGCCCAUCCGCCACCGGAUCGCUCCUUUGGCCACCGGAGGAUGCCCUCCGGUGGCGUCACGGGGUAUUAGGCCGCGUUUCCGCGGGUUAUCCCCCUGUGGCGGCCAGGUUGCAUACGUGUUACUCACCCGUGCGCCGGUCGCGGCGGG